rnacentral:rRNA from 1 species
UACGUAGGGUGCGAGCGUUAAUCGGAAUUACUGGGCUUAAAGCGCACGUAGGCGGCGCCGCAAGUGCGAGGUGAAAGCCCACGGCUUAACUGGGAGAGGCCGUUCAAAACUGUAAGGCUAGAGUGAGGCAGAGGAGCGCGGAAUUCCCGGUGUAGUGGUGGAAUGCGUAGAUAUCGGGAGGAACACCAGUGGCGAAAGCGGCUUCCUGGACCAGCACCGACGUUCAGGCACGAAAGCGUGGGGAGCAAACAGG